GACGAACGCUGGCGGCGUGCCUAAUACAUGCAAGUCGAACGCUGAAGGAGGAGCUUGCUUCUCUGGAUGAGUUGCGAACGGGUGAGUAACGCGUAGGUAACCUGCCUGGUAGCGGGGGAUAACUAUUGGAAACGAUAGCUAAUACCGCAUAAUAGUAGAUGUUGCAUGACAUUUGCUUAAAAGGUGCAAUUGCAUCACUACCAGAUGGACCUGCGUUGUAUUAGCUAGUUGGUGGGGUAACGGCUCACCAAGGCGACGAUACAUAGCCGACCUGAGAGGGGGAUAGGCCCCACUGGGACAUGGAGACGGGCCAGAGUCCUACGGGGGGGGACGGGAGGGAAUCUUGGGGAAUGGGGGGAAAUGUGAACCAGCAAAGCCGCGGGAGGGAAAAAGGUGUUCGGGGAUUAAAACGCUGUGUUGAGAGAAGAAAAAGUGUGGGAGGGUAAAAUUCUAACUGUGAGGGGAUCUUUCAAAAAAGGGAGGGGUACAACCUG
rnacentral:rRNA from 1 species